rnacentral:piRNA from 1 species
UUAGAACCGUGGCACAGAAGAAGUGCUCA